CCAGGGGGCCGGGCAGCCGCGUCGCUUAUGCGCCGAGGAAAGUCCGGGCUCCACGAAACAAGGGUGGCGGGUAACGCCCGCCGGACGAGAGGCUUGCCUCGAAGUCCAGGGAAAGUGCCACAGAGAGUAUACCGCCGAUGGGCCAGCCUCUUUCGAGGGGUUGAUCACAGGUAAGGGUGAAAGGGUGCGGUAAAAGCGCACCGGGGCGCUGGUAACAGGGUCCGCAUGGCAAACCCCACCCGGAGCAAGACCGAAUAGGGGUCUCGCGCCUGCGCUCUUCGGGGCAAAGGCAGGGGUGUUUCGCCCCGAGAGGCCCGGGUUGGUUGCUGGAGUGGCCGGGCAACCGGUCGCCGAGAUGAAUGGCUGCCCCCGUGCGCCCGUCCGAAAGGAUACCGCGCGCGGGACAGAACCCGGCUUACAGGCCCCCUGGCAAA
rnacentral:RNase_P_RNA from 1 species